rnacentral:rRNA from 1 species
ACUACGGGAGGCAGCAGUGGGGAAUAUUGGGCAAUGGGCGCAAGCCUGACCCAGCAACGCCGCGUGAAGGAAGAAGGCUUUCGGGUUGUAAACUUCUUUUGUCAGGGACGAAGCAAGUGACGGUACCUGACGAAUAAGCCACGGCUAACUACGUGCCAGCAGCCGCGGUAAUACGUAGGUGGCAAGCGUUAUCCGGAUUUACUGGGUGUAAAGGGCGUGUAGGCGGGGAAGCAAGUCAGAUGUGAAAACCACGGGCCCAACCUGUGGCCUGCAUUUGAAACUGUUUUUCUUGAGUGCUGGAGAGGCAAUCGGAAUUCCGUGUGUAGCGGUGAAAGGCGUAGAUAUACGGAGGAACACCGGUGGCGAAGGCGGAUUGCUGGACAGUAACUGACGCUGAGGCGCGAAAGCGUGGGGAGCAAACAGGAUUAGAUACCCUGGUAGUC